rnacentral:rRNA from 1 species
GUGGGGAAUAUUGGGCAAUGGGCGAAAGCCUGACCCAGCAACGCCGCGUGAAGGAAGAAGGUCUUCGGAUCGUAAACUUCUAUCCUUGGUGAAGAUAAUGACGGUAGCCGAGAAGGAAGCCCCGGCUAACUACGUGCCAGCAGCCGCGGUAAUACGUAGGGGGCAAGCGUUGUCCGGAAUGAUUGGGCGUAAAGGGCGCGUAGGCGGCCUGGUAAGUCUGGAGUGAAAGUCCUGCUUUUAAGGUGGGAAUUGCUUUGGAUACUGUCGGGCUUGAGUGCAGGAGAGGUAAGCGGAAUUCCCGGUGUAGCGGUGAAAUGCGUAGAGAUCGGGAGGAACACCAGUGGCGAAGGCGGCUUACUGGACUGUAACUGACGCUGAGGCGCGAAAGUGUGGGGAGCAAACAGGAUUAGAAACCCCGGUAGUCC